AGCGAACGCUGGCGGCAGGCUUAACACAUGCAAGUCGAGCGGACCUUUCGGGGUCAGCGGCGGACGGGUGAGUAACGCGUGGGAACGUGCCUUCCGGUUCGGAAUAACCCUGGGAAACUAGGGCUAAUACCGGAUACGCCCUUAUGGGGAAAGGUUUACUGCCGGAAGAUCGGGCCGCGUCUGAUUAGCUAGUUGGUGGGGUAACGGCCUACCAAGGCGACGAUCAGUAGCUGGUCUGAGAGGAUGAUCAGCCACACUGGGACUGAGACACGGCCCAGACUCCUACGGGAGGCAGCAGUGGGGAAUAUUGGACAAUGGGCGCAAGCCUGAUCCAGCCAUGCCGCGUGAGUGAUGAAGGCCUUAGGGUUGUAAAGCUCUUUUAUCCGGGACGAUAAUGACGGUACCGGAUGAAUAAGCCCCGGCUAACUUCGUG
rnacentral:rRNA from 1 species